AUCAGUGGUAAUAUAGCCAGUCAUUUCCAAGGUCAAUGGCUGUGGUCUCAGACCUUUUGCUUUGGAAAGGGAAGAUAGGACCUUUGCAGAAGCUCCCCUCUGUAGGGUGCCUUCUGCUUAACAGGCAAAGCAAGGAGGAAGCUGACAAUUGGUGGCUGCAGCACUAAGAGUUGGAGCACAUAAAAUGGGACAAUACAACUGUAAUCCAUGGUAGAUGUUUUUAUGGCUUAGGUGUAAACGAAUAGCAAUCCAUCAGCACAACCCUGUCAGAGAGCAAACUUUUGCAAAUAAAUAGCCACACUUGGCAGGCAUGAGAUCCUGCAUCUGUGGUGAAAACUGCAGAGAUAGUACUAUGAAACAGCCAGUACCCAUUUAUUAACUUUUUUCUUCCUUUCUGGCAGCCAUUUUGGAAAGCAAGUGACUGGUAACAGCCAAGGCAUAGAGAAAGAGAAGUGAGCAAUGGAAAGAAAUUCAAGACUUUCUAUCUUUAACUGAAGAUGACCCCCUGUGGAAUACAUAAAAGUCCAGUGACAUUCUCUUGCCAACUGCUUGAUUUCAGAUCCUGUCUUGCAAGAUGCUGGAGGUUCCUCUUACUGGGACAGAUCCAUCUAAUGACUCAGGAAAGGCAUCCAUCAUUAAUGAGAUAUAGCACAUUAUUCAGUGAAAAGAGAAAGCUUGAAUCUGAAAGCAAAACAUCUGAGGCUCUGAGCAGGAAAGUAAGCCUGUGUAGGAACAAAAAAUCCCCCUGAAACUGAUGGAAGAUAUGUGUAAACAUGGACUGUAAAUCUGGCUUUUAAAUUGUCUGCUGCAGUGGAGGUAAGAAUUGUAGUUCCUGUGUUGGGAAAGUUUCCUUUUCUUACCCAUCCCUUGCACCUCUUAUCCCAUCUAUAAAAUUAAAGCCCAUAGUUGGUGUGUACUUGAGUACUGGUGCCUGAUUUGAUACAUUAUAAGGCCUUUAAUUGGGUGGGGAAGGUUGAAGGGUUAUUUUACAACAAUUAUUCAAUAUUUGUACAAUAUUUGUACAACUUUGCGAACAUUUUUGGGCACUGGAAAUACCAGUGGCACUAUACAGCCACUUUCUAUCCUGAAUGUUUAAGAGCCUACAUAGGCAAUGAGCAACAGGGUUAAACAAGCACAGAAAGGAAGUGAUGUACCCA
rnacentral:lncRNA from 1 species